rnacentral:lncRNA from 1 species
GCCGGUCGCAAAAUCAAAACUUGUUGGAAUCAUUGUCAGUAUUUUAUUUUUCAAAAUCCGAAAACAAUUUUUUUUUAAAAAAAAUUAGAAAAUACACAUUUGGCAUCAACUAUUGGUGGUGAUGAUAGUCACAUUAAUUAUGGUGAAAGCAAUGGGGGUAAAACAAGACCUGUUGGCUUUUAGUUGCUUUUAAUAACUUUCAUUUUCCUUCAAAAACC